rnacentral:rRNA from 1 species
GAUCUGGCUCAGGACGAACGCUGGCGGCGCGCCUAACACAUGCAAGUCGAACGAGCGAGAGAGAGCUUGCUUUCUCAAGCGAGUGGCGAACGGGUGAGUAACGCGUGAGGAACCUGCCUCAAAGAGGGGGACAACAGUUGGAAGCGACUGCUAAUACCGCAUAAGCCCACAGCUCGGCAUCGAGCAGAGGGAAAAGGAGCAAUCCGCUUUGAGAUGGCCUCGCGUCCG